rnacentral:rRNA from 1 species
UGGGGAAUUUUGGACAAUGGGCGAAAGCCUGAUCCAGCAAUGCCGCGUGUGUGAAGAAGGCCUUCGGGUUGUAAAGCACUUUUGUCCGGAAAGAAAUCCUUGGCUCUAAUACAGUCGGGGGAUGACGGUACCGGAAGAAUAAGCACCGGCUAACUACGUGCCAGCAGCCGCGGUAAUACGUAGGGUGCAAGCGUUAAUCGGAAUUACUGGGCGUAAAGCGUGCGCAGGCGGUUUGCUAAGACCGAUGUGAAAUCCCCGGGCUCAACCUGGGAACUGCAUUGGUGACUGGCAGGCUAGAGUAUGGCAGAGGGGGGUAGAAUUCCACGUGUAGCAGUGAAAUGCGUAGAGAUGUGGAGGAAUACCGAUGGCGAAGGCAGCCCCCUGGGCCAAUACUGACGCUCAUGCACGAAAGCGUGGGGAGCAAACAGGAUUAGAUACCCUGGUAGUCCAGCGCCCUAAAACGAUGUCAACUAGUUGUUGGGGAUUCAUUUCCUUAGUAACGUAGCUAACGCGUGAAGUUGACCGCCU